rnacentral:rRNA from 1 species
GUCUAUGGCCAUGCCACCCUGAACAAGCCUAAUCCCGUCUGAUCUUGGAAGCUAAGCAGAGUCGGGCCUGGUUAGUACUUGGAUGGGAGACUACCUAGGAAGACCAGGUGCUGUAGGCA